rnacentral:rRNA from 1 species
GACGAACGCUGGCGGCGUGCUUAACACAUGCAAGUCGAACGGUGAAAGCGGAGCUUGCUCCGCUGGAUCGGUGGCGAACGGGUGAGUAACACGUGGGCAACCUGCCCCUCACUUCGGGAUAACUCCGGGAAACCGGGGCUAAUACCGGAUAUGACCUCCUUGGGCAUCCUUGGAGGUGGAAAGUUUUUCGGUGAGGGAUGGGCCCGCGGCCUAUCAGCUUGUUGGCGAGGUAGUGGCUCACCAAGGCGACGACGGGUAGCCGGCCUGAGAGGGCGACCGGCAACACUGGGACUGAGACACGGCCCAGACUCCUACGGGAGGCAGCAGUGGGGAAUAUUGCGCAAUGGGCGAAAGCCUGACGCAGCAACGCCGCGUGCGGGAUGACGGCCUUCGGGUUGUAAACCGCUUUCAGCAGGGAAGAAGCCGCAAGGUGACGGUACCUGCAGAAGAAGCACCGGCUAACUACGUGCCAGCAGCCGCCGUAA